rnacentral:rRNA from 1 species
UACGUAGGGUGCGAGCGUUGUCCGGAAUUAUUGGGCGUAAAGGGCUCGUAGGCGGUUUGUCGCGUCGGGAGUGAAAACGCCGUGCUUAACACGGCGCUUGCUUUCGAUACGGGCAGACUAGAGGUAUGCAGGGGAGAACGGAAUUCCUGGUGUAGCGGUGAAAUGCGCAGAUAUCAGGAGGAACACCGGUGGCGAAGGCGGUUCUCUGGGCAUUACCUGACGCUGAGGAGCGAAAGUGUGGGGAGCGAACAGGAUUAGAUACCCCAGUAGUCC